rnacentral:tRNA from 1 species
GGGGCUGUAGCUCAGUGGUACAGCACUUGCCUAGCAUGUGAGAGGCCCUGGGUUCAGUCCCCUAGCCCUG